ACUUUACAACUUUGUCAAAAAUUAAUUGGGCACAAAGAUGAGUGUUUAUUUCUGGACUCUCAGUUCUUUUCUGUUGAUCUAAGUGUCUGUGCUUAUGCCAGAAUCACAUUCUUUUGAUUUCUGUAGCUUUAUAGUUAGUUUUGAUACUGGAAAGUGUGAGUCUUUCAACUUUGUUCUUAGUUUUCAAUAUUGUUUUGGCUGGGUCCUUUGCCCUUCUAGAUAAAUUUUAAGAUCAGAUUGCCAAUUUCUGAAAAAAACAAAAAACAAAAACCAAAAACCAAUUUCUAUAUUUUGAUACAAAUUGCAUUGACUCUAGCGAUCGGUUUGGGGAGAAGUGCCAUCUUGAUAAUAUUGAAGCUUCCAGUCCGUGGUCUUGGAGCCACUCAGGCUCCCGUCUUCAGUCCUCUCAGCACCGUGGCGUGGUUUCCACGUAGUUUCCAGUGUGCAGGCCUUGCACUUCCUGUCUUCAGGGUAUUCCUGAGUACGUUAUUCUUUUUGGUGUCAUUGCCAGUGGAAUGGUGUUACUGUUCUUUUCAAGCUCUUCAUUGAUGGCAUAUAAAAAUAAAAUUGAAUUUUGUUUAGUUUAGUUUUUUUUUUAAUGUUUAUUAAUUUUUGACAGAGAGAGACAGAGUGCUAACGGGGGAGAGGCAGAGGGAGGGGGAGACACGGAAUCGGAAGUAGGCUCCAGGCUCCGAGCUGUCAGCACAGAGCCCAAUGUGGGGCUUGAACCCAUGAACAGCGAGAUCAUGACCUGAACGGAAGUUGGACGCUUAACCGACUGAGCCCCCCAGGUACCCCCAAAAUAAAAUUGAAUUUUGUAUAUUGAUCUUGGAUCCUAUGACCCUGUGGAAGUUGUUUAUUAGUCCUCAUUUUGUUUUUGUUUUUGCUUUUGUGUCGUUUGUGGAUUUUUUUGGUACGGGUUCCUUGGGGUGCUCAACAUAUGGGACCAUGUUUCUGCAAAUAAAGGCAGUUUUACUUCUUCCUUUCCAAUCUCUAUGCCCUUUAUUUCUGUUUCUUGCCGGAUUGUACUGGCUGGAACUUCCUAGUACAAUGUUGGCCAGAAGUGGCAUUCCUGAUCUUAGGGCAGAGCAUCAAGUCUUUUGCCAUUAAGUAGGAUGUUAGCUGUAGAACUUUUUGUAGUGCUCUUUGUUGGCAUGGAACAGUUUCAUUCUGUCUGAGUGUUUAGAGUUUUUUUGAGUGAGUGUUGGAUUUUGUCAAAUGUUUACUUCACUUAUUGAGAGGCUCAUGCGGUUUAUGUCCUUUAUUUUAUUUAUUUUCAGAUGUUAAACCAACCUUGAAUUCCAGGGACAAAUCCCAUUUGGUCGUGCAGCUUUAGGUUCACAGCAACAUUGGAAGAAUGUGGAGAUUUCCUGUGGAACUCCUGUCCUCCCAGCUGUGAACAUCCCCACCAGAGUAGUGCAUUUGUUACAAUCGGUGAACCUACAUUGACAAGCCAUUAUCACUCAGACUCCCUAGUUUACAUUAGCGUUCACUCCUGAUGUUGUAAUUCUGUGGAUUUGGACAAAUUUAUAAUGAUACAUAGCCACCAUUAUCAUAAAGAGUGUUUUCACUGUCCUUAAAAUCGUCUGUACCCCACCGACUUAUCCUCUUUCCCUCCUAACUUCUGGAAACCACUGGUCUUGUUGUUCCUGUGUUUUGCCUUCUCUGGGAUGUCAUAUCAUCGGAAGCAUGCGGUCAGUAUGUCACCUUUUCAGAUUGACUCACUUCACCUACCAACAUGCAUUUAAAGUUCCUUCGUGUGUAUUUGUGGCUUAAGAGCUCAUUUCCUUUUAGUGCUGAAUAGCAUUCCAUUCUUUGGACGUACCACGGUUUAUCCGUUUACCUACUGGAGGACACCUUGGUGGCUUUCAAGUUUUGGCAAUUAUGAAUAAAUUAUGGAUCGAGCUGCUGUAAA